GGUAAAAUGGCUGAGUAAAGCAUUAGACUGUAAAUCUAAGGACAGAGGCGGGGCCUCUUUUUGCCA
rnacentral:tRNA from 1 species